GCUUACGGCCAUACCAGCCUGGGUACGCCCGAUCUCGUCUGAUCUAGGAAGCUAAGCAGGGUCGGGCCUGGUUAGUACUUGGAUGGGAGACCGCCUGGGAAUACCAGGUGCUGUAAGCA
rnacentral:rRNA from 1 species